UCCCUCAAACGCUAACCCAUCUCCGUCGUGGCCGCCCCCGCCACCUCCCGCCGCGGCCGCCGCCUCAGCUCCAGCCGUGGCCAUCGCGCCCAGAUCCAGCCGCGGCCGUCGCCCCCACGUCCCACCGCGGCCUCUGCCCUGCGUGCCAACAACCCCUUCCCCCGCCGCAUUACAAAACUCCCUCGGGCACAAGGAUUUACAUCGGCACGCUACCAGGAAGGCAGCCCACGCACGCAUCGUCCCCCCAUCUCUCUCGUUUCCUCUCCCCCAGCUCUAGGGUUCCCAGCCCCACUGCACCGCCGCCACAGCGCACAGCCCCUCCCAAUCUCGUUUCCGAUUCACCUCUCUCCUCCCGUCACGGCCCUGAAUCAUCCCCCUCCUCCCGCACUUCUUCGUGCGUGGCCGCCGGCCUUGUCGUCUUCACCGAUGGGAGGAGGCACCAAGCGGUAGCAGUUGAUUAGGCCUUUGGCCAAUUGUGUAUGAUUAGAAGCCUUGGCUGAAUGUAUUUGCGUCUUGUUUUUUGGGCUCCUAUGUUCUCUUUUGAUUAAGCCCACUGUGUUCUCCUCUCACUAAGCCCUUGGCUAAUUGUGUUUGAUUAAAGGCCUUCGCUGGUUGCAUCCUUUUUAUUAUUAUUUGAUGGUCUACUCCCGAUGAUGUCAUCCUUUCCAGUGGAGCGCGGGAGGGUCGUCGAGAGAUUCGUCAAGGAAAGUGACCUGUUGUCUCAUCUGCUGGCCAAUCCUCUGGUUUGGCGGUCAGUUUGUUGCGUGCUUCUCCUGUCCUGAAUUUGGGGUCUUGUUCAGUGGCUGCUGAACCUGCUUUCUUUGUUCUGAAUCCGAACUUGGGAUCUUCUUCAAUGGCUGCUCAGUCAUUCAACCGUUUGUCUGAAACUUUUCAUUUGUGUAAUUAUGUAUUGUCGAAAUCUGGUCAUUUGUAUUCUUCUCAGAAACUGCAUAAUGGCACCUUGCCGUUCUUUUCGGUUCGUCUCCUUAUGAUCCCCGCUUCAAUCUUUCUACUUGAUCUACAUUUUUUCCCAUGAGUUUAAUUUCUUGAUUUUGAUUCAGAUAUUCAAUAGUUGCUGGUGCGGGCAAUGGACAUUCAGACAUUCCUAUAUUUUUCUGUACUCUGUUCUGUAUUUAAUUUAAUUUGUAUCUUACUUUUUCCUGUAUAUAUAUGAUGCCUAGGAGAAGUGCACUGUACGAUGCAUAUCGGAGAAAAAGGCGCACUACAAGUUCUCCUGCUACUAAAAGAAGUUAAAGCUGCAAAUUCAAUGUUCAGGGAAGCCAAGAUCGGUUGAUAUGAAACUGUAUCUCUUGUUCAAGAUACUGUCAUGGCAACGGUGGAAAGCUGCAGAGGACACAUCCUGAAUUGGUGUUCUUUGCAAUGCCCUGGUGACCGGCGCCAGCAACACGCUACGGCCCGCCGGUUGCCCUAAACGGCAGCGUGAACCAUCUGAGGGGAUGAAAUGAGUUCUGCAUGUCUUCUCUUUUUGUAAAGUGUCUACCUGAGUUCUUUACAUGUUUAGGAGUAGCGGCGCAGAAGACGACGACGUGGCAGAGGAUGGAUUAGAUUGUCCCUAUCAGUGCGGCAGCAACUGGGUUGUGUGCGCAGCCGGCGUCGAGGAGGAAGAGCCGCUGCUCACGACCUCGCACUACGACAGCGCAUCUUCUACUAUCGCACCUGUGGUGUCCUAGAUCUGGGAUCGUCGGAAGCAAGUGUACAUCUAGGGAUUUAUUUGAUUUGAAAUGUAUUAUGUUAGCUUAGCCUACUCUGUUGAUGCUGGUAUGUCAGGCUUUUAUAUUUCAGAAACAUGGUCAUUGCAAAUGGCAAUGUCGACAUGGAGGAAGGAACCCUUGAAAUCGGGAUGGGUAUGCAUUCUCUUCCAGUUCUGCA